CUACGGGAGGCAGCAGUAGGGAAUAUUGCACCAUGGGCGCAAGCCUGAUGCAGCAACGCCGCGUGAGUGAUGAAGGCCCUCGGGUCGUAAAACUCUUUUCAAGAGGAAGAGGAAGGACGGUACUCUUGGAAUAAGCCUCGGCUAACUACGUGCCAGCAGCCGCGGUAACACGUAGGAGGCGAGCGUUAUUCGGAUUUACUGGGCGUAAAGCGCGUGUAGGCGGCUUUAUAAGUUGGAUGUGAAAGCUCCCGGCUUAACUGGGAGAGGACGUUCAAAACUAUAGAGCUUGAGUACGAGAGAGGAAAANGGAAUUCCGGGUGUAGUGGUGAAAUGCGUAGAUAUCCGGAGGAACACCAGUGGCGAAGGCGAUUUUCUGGCUCGAGACUGACGCUCAGACGCGAAAGCUAGGGUAGCAAACGGGAUUAGAGACCCCGGUAGUCCUAGCUGUAAACGAUGUAGACUAGGCGUUGGUGGAGUAAAAUCCAUCAGUGCCGCAGCAAACGCGAUAAGUCUACCGCCUGGGGACUACGGCCGCAAGGUUAAAACUCAAAGGAAUUGACGG
rnacentral:rRNA from 1 species